rnacentral:lncRNA from 1 species
UUUUUCUUUUUUUUUAACGUCUUAUUGAAGUAGAGUUGAUUUAUAAUGUUGUAAUAAUUUCUCCUGUACAGCAAAGUGAUUCAGUUAUAUAUGUAAGCACAUCCAUUCUCUUUCAGAUUCGUUUCCCACAUAGAUUAUCACAGAAUACUGGGUGAAGUUCUCCGUGUUGCAUAACAGGUCUCUGUUAGCCAAUCAUACCAUAUGGCUCAGUGUGCAUAUGCCAUCUCAGGCCUGUUAUUAUGUAAUUUUGUUUCUUUUUUCUCUUAAUCUUUGGGUAAUAUGGGAUAUAAGAGGACAUACUAAUUAAAAUAAUUGUUAUUAUUAGAUUUUUUUCCUCUUGAAAGGUACUGGAAUUUUCAGUUUUGCUGGACUUAACUGAUAGAAAAAAAGUGCAAAUGUUUGACCCCAAAAGAUGUUUGUGUUUAUUACUGAUAUAUUGGUAGGAAAUAAAUCUAGCAUAUAAAUGAGUAAAGGAUCCAGUUUGUAAAUGGGUUAUGAUGCAUUUGCCAUGGCACAGCACUUUCUUUCAGAGUCAUUUUGCUAAGUUUCUUAUGUCCAUAGCAUGGUUUGUGAAUAACUCUUCUUGGGAAUUGAAUGCAUAUAAGAAUAUAACAUCCUGUGGGUAAACAAGAUAUGUUAUGUAUAUACAGUGGAAUACUACUCAAGCAAAUGAACAAAUGAAUGAAAUAAUUCCAUUUGCCAACAUGGAUAGACCUAGAAAUUAUCAUACUAGGCAAAGUUAGUCAGAAAAGACAAAUACCAUAUACUAUUACUUAUACUUGUAAUCUAAAAUAUGACACAAACAAACAUCUCUAAAGAGAAACAGACUCACAGAUGUAGAGAAUAAGGUUGUUUCCAAGGGGGAGAAGGUGUGAAGGAGGGAUAGAUUGAGAGUUUGGGAUUAGCAGAGGUAAACUAUUUUAUAUAGAAUGGGUAAACAACAAGGUCCUACUGUAUAGUAGAGGGAACUAUAUUGAAUAUCUUGUAAUGCACCAUAAUGGAAAAAUAAUAUGCAAAAGUAUAUAUAUACACACACACAUAUAUAUAGACACACAUGUUUACAUAUAUACAGUAUAUGUGUGUAUAUAUGUAUAUAUAUAUAACUGAAUCACUUUGCUGUCUAGUAGAAAUUAAUGUAGCAUUGUAAAUCAACUAUACUUCAAAUAGCAUUUUAAAAAGAAUAUAACAAUCCAUUUUCUACUUGAGAUUGAAAAUUUCUUUCUUCCUGUGAUUUCUCAUUGCCUAUUGAUCUAACUAUCCUCUGGAAUAAUUUAUUCAUUCAUUCGUUCACUUGUUCUUGUUUUAAACACUGGAAAGGUAGCUUCUUUGAGCCAGGAAUCAGAGUAAAGACAGGAAAAGCAAACAAUUUGCUCUUUUUAAGGUAGAAUGAUAACCAGUGAUAAGCAGAAGCUUUUGAUGUGGUAAAUACAGUGGAGCUCUGAAAGAUGUGUUUGCUUUAGGCAUGGAUAUCAAGGAAAGCAUCUUAUAGGAGGUAGUGCUUGAGUGAGUCUUAAAGGAUGGCUAAAGGUGCUGGAAGCAGCAGGAGGUGGAAGGGCCGGUCUGCUUAGCAUUCAGCAUAAGAAGAUAAAGGCACAUAUAGGUUCAUGUGUGCAUAAUAGAAAUUAAUUUAAAUCCAUUAUUAUUUUCGCACAAAGUACAAGCCACACAUAAGCUAACAAUGAGCUGAAAAGUACAUAGAAGUUGGUUUGUCAAGAAUCUUAUGACUUGAUCAGGAAGCUGCAUUUCCUUCUGUAAAAAGUGGCCAUCUUCCAUGUGUGUGUGUAUCUUUCAUACAUAUGUCGAAUAUAUGUAUAUAUAGUGUGAAUACAUAUCUAGUAUAUAUAUAGUGUAUAUAUAUAUAGGCAUAUAUAUAUGUAUAUAGGCAUAUAGCAUAUAUAUAUAGUGAAUACAUAUCUAUAUAUAUAUAGUGUAUAUAUAUAUAGGCAUAUAUAUAUGUAUAUAGGCAUAUAGCAUAUAUAUAUAGUGAAUACAUAUCUAGUAUAUAGUAUAUAUAUAUAUGGGCAUAUAGUAUAUAUAUAUAUGCCUAUCUUGCAUAUUUAUAUUUUUAAAAUUUAUUUUUAUUUAUAUAUUUCACAAGACAAAUUUAAUAUCUAAAAUUCUAAAUUUUUAGUCAAUACUGCUAAUGACUAGGAGCUAAAGAGAAUUUUUUUUCCUGAUGUAGUUUAAAUAAUGUUAUCUCAAUUAAUAAGGAAGGGAAGAAAGGAAAUAAUUAUGAAGUCAAAAAAUCCUUCAAUGUUUUGACACUUUUCUUUGACAUUUUAAGAGAAGACAGAAUAAAAUCUGCUCUCACCCUCUCAUUACAUACAAAGCAUGCAAAACCCUUAUUUCCUGCCUCCUAAUUUUCUCCCUUCACUCACCCCUUCAUUCACUAACCUCAGAAACACUUGACAGAUACAUAAUUGUCCUUUCUAAGGAACUUUAAUUUUUCUUCUAUUGGGAAGUCUUAUCCCUCUUUUAAGUUUGUCCCUCAAUUCCAAUAUUACCUUCCUCUGUGGUCUUUCAUGACUAUCUAGUUAAAAGCAAUCCAUCCAGUGAUUUUUCCAUGAUACCAUUCUAUUUUACUUGGACAGCAUUAGUUAAUACUUGGAAUUAUCUUCUUUAUUCAUUUCUAUUGUCUCUGUUGACAGUAAAUGAAACACGAAGGUAAACGUUUUAGAGAAUGACCUCUCUAUGUUUUGCUCUUAGGCAUUUAAAAUAUGAUCUGAUGUAUAAGGGGAUUUGAUAAAUGUAGUUGACUAACCAUGUUACAUUGUAUUCCUAGCAGAGAAGUGGAGAGGAGGAGUA